UUCUCAUCUUCCUUGUGCCAUCACCGGCGGUCACCGAAAUCACAAGUAAGUUUUUUUCGCUCUAUAUUUUUUUUUCUCUCUCCUUUCCUCUCUAUUUCCUCCUUCCCUUCCACCUUUCUUUUCCCCCUUCUUCUUUACACCCCUCACUGCCCCUUUUUUCACCUCCCCCCACCCUCAAAUUUGCCCCUAUUUUCUUCCCCUCCCUCGCUCUUUCUCCAUUUUCUCAUUCCAUAUUCUUUCAUUUUUCUGUCCAUCCCCAGUUCGCCCCGCUUUCUUCAAGAUUGCGACGUCCCAGAUCUGGGCUAAGGAGCAUCACCUCCGCUCUCUAGAUAUCCUCUUUUUCCCUCUUAGAGCGGGCCCGACGGUCGUAUGCAGACACCAACUCGACAGCGAUGACCAGCGGCGGCAGAGGCAUGUGGCGGAGUGUGGAAGGACAGAAAUUGACACAGGCGGGUGUAAUAACAAUGUUUUGACAUCCAAAUCGGUAAUCCAGGUUCUGAUCACCCAGAGUGGGUACCUCCAGAUAUCCUGUCUCCCCUUUGUUUUCCUUUCUAGUAAGUUGCAUAAUUGCAUUAGUUAGUUUUAGUACAAUGCCUAUUUACUUUUCUGCAAUAUUGUUUGGCUCAUUAGCUUUAGUAGAAUUCUUAUUUUCCCGCUUGAAGUUUUAUUUUGGUUCUUAAGCUUUCUAAUUUGUAGCUUAUAUUUUUUUGUUUAUGCUAUUUGAUAUUUUAGUGUUAGCUGUGAGCAUGUAAUUUUUGCCUUAUGUGAAUUACUCCCAUAAAAUACAAGAAAAAUAAAUUUUUCUAUUAAUUACAAUAUUGUAGGAUUUUGUGAGAAUUUGCGCUAAUUGUUUGCAUUUCUGUGCAUGUUUAUUUCUAUUUAAAUCAUGAAAAGUACAAAAAAAAAGCAUCAUGCAUCACAUUUAGGUUAUUCUACAGUUCCAGGAUUAAUUAAUCAGUUAUUUGUUUUGUUAAAAUUGAAAAGCACAAAAUUGGUUCAUUUUUACAAUUAUUGUCUUUAAUUUUAGAUUGUUGAUGUUUCUCUUUUAAUUUAGGAUCAGAUAAUGUUUAUAAAUUUUGCACUUUGAUAAUUAGUUUAAUUUCACAACUCGGACUAAUUUGGGGUAAUUUAUAUUUUUUAUUAAUUUAGGAAGAAGAAAAAGAAAAAGGAAAAAAAUUGAAAAGGAAAAGGAAUUAAUUAUAAAACAAAGAGAAGGAAAGUUUGAAUUUGUUUUAAAACCCAAAAUUGGGCCAAUUUGGUGGAAACCCAAACUAUUCUGUGGCCCAGGGCAACCAGGUCCAAACCUCAUACCCGGUCCAAAGCCUUCAGUCCAUGAGACCCUGAAACGACGUAGUAUAGGAGGAAUACUACGUCAUUUUGAGUUCGUUAGUGUUAAAUUAUUCCUGGUCCUUCAUUUUAUAUGAUCUAAUGGCCCUAAAGACUUCCCCCAUUUUAAUUAAAAUUGUCCAAACGCUUCAUAUUAACCUAGGAUCUCUGCUCUUCAUCUCCCUCACACCCUGUAUCUCACCACUGUUCGCCGCCCACCAGAAAUCGCCAGCGACAACGGUUGACCUCAAAACCCCUUAAAAUCUUAACCAUGUAACCUCUGGUGCACCUCCAUUCCAAAUCCACCCUUGUUUUCUCUCCCAAACCACCCAUUCUCUCCAGAUCAGAGAUCGAAGUUAGCACUGAAAAUCCUUUCACCCUUUUUCUUCUGAUUUUCGCCUACUCUAGUUUCUUUUUGGUGUUAAAACGUGUGAAUCAACCAGUUUCGAUGUGAAAAAGCCAAUUGGUUGAGGGAUCGAUCUGUGUAUGGUGUCCAAGUUUGGUCAACAGUCUCUGAUAGGCCCUUAUCUCAAUUUCCUCUUCGUUCUUGACUCGUGAUGGGGAUUGUGACAAAGAGCACAAGCCAUGGAAGAAAUUCCGGCUAGUGCUCAAUGUUACAGUUCACACCAUGUGGUUGAGAUUCUUCACGCCGGAUGCCAUCAUCUGUGAGCCAUCAAUCUAGCCGGUACUUUUCUUCUUCUUCAUCUCAGUCGGGUUUAGAAAUCGCAGGUUUUUCAGUCGUUUAAUUAGGUAAUAAUAAUAGGUUAAGAAGCAAUAAAUUCUCUGUUAGCAUUUGUUAAUUUUCCUUUUUCCUUUUUACUUCUUUUUUUAUUAUUAUUCUUAUUCUGCUUCGUUAAGAAGAUCUCAUGUUACUAGAAUUCAGAAAUGAGUUAUUUUGGUUUUCUUAUUUUUCUUGUGAAUUUAUUGGUUUAGACUUGAACUUGGGUUUGCUAGUAGCCCAAAAAACUGGUUGAAGUUCAUUUGGUGCAGAAGCCCAAAGACAUUUGGACGGUUUGAUCCAAUGUCUAUGUUAAAGUAAUUACCAGCCUUAUAAAGGGUAGUUUAGAAAAUUUAAUAAGGGGAAUCUUACUUAAACCGCUUAGAAAAUUUCCAAGAAGGUGGGAUUGGGGGUAGAUUAACAAACAGAUUUUAACUACAGGGUCCAAAAUAAAAAAAUAAAAAUUGGGGAAAGGGUAAAUGGUGAAGUAUAGAAUCAGAUUUUGUUGCCCUAGGAGCUGGUUAUAUAAGGUUCAUUUUCUUUCAUUUAUAAGCAGAGAUUAGAGACCUGAAAAGGGAGCAAACGGUUGAAACCAUACACAUUGAUAUAAGUCCCAAAAUUAGAAAGAAAAAAAGAUACAAAAAAAUCAUCAAGUACAGUUCUAUUGUAGCCGGUUUGUUGAUAUUUCUUGGGUUUUAAAAGCUAGGGUAAUUUGUUGUUUACUUCUGGGUUCCAAAACAUGAAAAGCUGAUUGAUGAACUGAUGUUGGUUGUUGUUUUAAGAUCUGCUGAGAUUGUUAGUUCUUUGCUGAAUUAUUGUGACUAUUUUGGUUGUUUCAGGUAUGUUUCAAACUUUGAAAGUGCAAAAUGAAGUUGGAGAUGCAAUGUGUUUAAAUGAAAUUAGGCUUCCCUUCCAGAUUUUCUCUUCUUUUGUUUAGCAUUACAUGUAUUAAUUAGUUUGAUAGUCAAAGUUUCUAGUUGUAAUUAAUGUCAACAUCAACACCCU
rnacentral:lncRNA from 1 species